rnacentral:sRNA from 1 species
AUAUCUCUCCGUACGGGAAGGAUGAGAAGCUUCGACUAAGGUUCGAUUCGAGCGCAGCGAGAACGCGUUGCCGCAGGCAACGACCCGAAGGGCGAAGCGCGCAGC